rnacentral:rRNA from 1 species
UAGGGAAUCUUCCGCAAUGGGCGAAAGCUUGACGGAGCAACGCCGCGUGAGUGAUGAAGGUCUUCGGAUCGUAAAACUCUGUUAUUAGGGAAGAACAAAUGUGUAAGUAACUAUGCACGUCUUGACGGUACCUAAUCAGAAAGCCACGGCUAACUACGUGCCAGCAGCCGCGGUAAUACGUAGGUGGCAAGCGUUAUCCGGAAUUAUUGGGCGUAAAGCGCGCGUAGGCGGUUUUUUAAGUCUGAUGUGAAAGCCCCCGGCUCAACCGGGGAGGGUCAUUGGAAACUGGUUGGCUUGAGUGCAGGAGAGGUGAGUGGAAUUCCAUGUGUAGCGGUGAAAUGCGCAGAGAUAUGAAGGAACACCAGUGGCGAAGGCGACUUUCUGGUCUGUAACUGAAGCUGAUGUGCGAAAGCGUGGGGAUCAAACAGG